GAUGAACGCUGGCGGCGUGCCUAAUACAUGCAAGUCGAGCGAACAGACGAGGAGCUUGCUCCUCUGACGUUAGCGGCGGACGGGUGAGUAACACGUGGAUAACCUACCUAUAAGACUGGGAUAACUUCGGGAAACCGGAGCUAAUACCGGAUAAUAUAUUGAACCGCAUGGUUCAAUAGUGAAAGACGGUUUUGCUGUCACUUAUAGAUGGAUCCGCGCCGCAUUAGCUAGUUGGUAAGGUAACGGCUUACCAAGGCAACGAUGCGUAGCCGACCUGAGAGGGGGAUCGGGCACCCCGGAACUGGGACCCGGGCCAGACCUCCAAGGGAGGCAGCAGUAGGGAAUCUUCCGCAAAGGGCGAAAGCCUGACGGAGCAACGCCGCGUGAGUGAUGAAGGUCUUCGGAUCGUAAAACUCUGUUAUUAGGGAAGAACAAAUGUGUAAGUAACUAUGCACGUCUUGACGGUACCUAAUCAGAAAGCCACGGCUAACUACGUG
rnacentral:rRNA from 1 species